UACGGGAGGCAGCAGUCGGGAAUAUUGCACAAUGGGCGAAAGCUCUGAUGCAGCAACGCCGCGUGAGGGAAGAACGGUUUUCGGAUUGUAAACCUCUGUCUUUGGUGAAGAAGAAGUGACAUUAGCCGAGGAGGAAGCCNCGGCUAACUACGUGCCAGCAGCCGCGGUAAU
rnacentral:rRNA from 1 species